AUGGCCGUACCAUGCUGAAUAUACCGGUUCUCGUUAGAUCACCGAAGUUAAGCAUCAUUGGGCGCGGUCAGUACUUGGGUGGGUGACCACCUGGGAACACUGCGUGCCGUU
rnacentral:rRNA from 1 species